rnacentral:rRNA from 1 species
UUUCAAGAUUCUAAGAGCAAACGGUGGAUGCCUUGGCAUCUGGAGCCGAAGAAGGACGUAUAAAUCUGCGAUAAGCCUCGGGGAGCUGAUAAUAGAGCUUUGAUCCGAGGAUCUCCGAAUGGGGAAACCCCGCCAGGCCCUUUGGGUGACCUGGUGACUCCCGCCUGAAUAUAUAGGGCGGGUAGAGGGAACGUGGGGAAGUGAAACAUCUCAGUACCCACAGGAAGAGAAAGCAAAAGCGAUUCCGUUAGUAGUGGCGAGCGAAACCGGAAGAGGCCAAACCGAUCAUGUGUGAUAUCCGGUAGGAGUUGCAUGGUCGGGGUUGCGGGACUUUCCGUACAGUUCUACCGAGCUGUGAGGGCAAUGAGCGCGAUAUAGACGAAUGGUCUUGAAAGGCCAGUCAUAGAGGGUGCGAACCCCGUAGUCGAAAUGUCGUCGCCUGUCCGGAGAGUAUCCCAAGUAGCACGGGGCCCGAGAAAUCCCGUGUGAAUCUGUCAGGACCACCUGAUAAGCCUAAAUACUCCCAGAUGACCGAUAGCGGACAAGUACCGUGAGGGAAAGGUGAAAAGUACCCCGGGAGGGGAGUGAAAUAGUACCUGAAACCGUUUGCUUACAAACCGUUGGAGCGCCCUUGUUGGUGUGACAGCGUGCCUUUUGAAGAAUGAGCCUGCGAGUUAGUGAUAUGUGGCGAGGUUAACCCGUGAGGGGCAGCCGUAGCGAAAGCGAGUCUUAAUAGGGCGUAUGAGUCGCAUGUUCUAGACCCGAAGCGAAGUGAUCUAUCCAUGGCCAGGUUGAAGCGACGGUAAGACGUCGUGGAGGACCGAACCCACUUCAGUUGAAAAUGGAGGGGAUGAGCUGUGGAUAGGGGUGAAAGGCCAAUCAAACUUCGUGAUAGCUGGUUCUCUCCGAAAUGCAUUUAGGUGCAGCGUUGCGUGUUUCUUGCCGGAGGUAGAGCUACUGGAUGGACGAUGGGCCCCAAAAGGUUACUGACUUCAGCCAAACUCCGAAUGCCGGUAAGUGAGAGCGCAGCAGUGAGACGGUGGGGGAUAAGCUUCAUCGUCGAGAGGGAAACAACCCAGACCACCAUCUAAGGUCCCUAAGCGCGUGCUAAGUGGGAAAGGAUGUGGAGUUGCAUAGACAACCAGGAGGUUGGCUUAGAAGCAGCCACCCUUGAAAGAGUGCGUAAUAGCUCACUGGUCAAGUGAUUCCGCGCCGACAAUGUAACGGGGCUCAAGCACGCCACCGAAGUUGUGGCAUUUAUAUUAUAGGCAGGCCUUCGUGGUCCAGCCGUAUGGAUGGGUAGGAGAGCGUCGUGUGGCCAGCGAAGCGGCGGUGUGAACCAGCCGUGGAGGCCACACGAGUGAGAAUGCAGGCAUGAGUAGCGAAAGACGGGUGAGAAACCCGUCCUCCGAAAGACCAAGGGUUCCAGGGCCAGGCUAAUCCGCCCUGGGUAAGUCGGGACCUAAGGCGAGGCCGACAGGCGUAGUCGAUGGACAACGGGUUGAUAUUCCCGUACCGAUGAAGAACCGCCCAAGACAAUCCAGUAAUGCUAAGUGUCUGAAUCCUUGAU